AAUUCUAAAAUCACGUUUCUCUCAGAUUUAUUUUUCUUUUUUCUUCCGGCUCUCAAUCUCGCUCUCUCUGUCUCUCAAUCUCGCCCUCUCUGUCUCGUCUGUUUCUCUCACUCUCUCGCACAAUCUUUAUCUCUCUCUAUUUUUCGAUAUCGCUAUCUCUCUCUGUCUUUUUCGUUCUCCACCACUCCAAUCCACUAUUGAGGUGGCGGUGGCUUUGACGGUGGUUAUGGCGGUGGCUUUGACGGUGGUUAUGGCGGUGGCUUUGACGGUGGUUAUGGCGGUGGAGACGGUGGCAAUAAACGGAUGGUUGUAGAGGCAAGGAGACGGCGGCUAUGGUGGUUCAAGGUCAGAUCCAUAGUGAAAGACGCAGCGACGGUGUUGGGCAUGGAUGAUGGCGUGAUGGCGGCGCUUGGUGGUGGAUGGUGGUGGAUGGUGGUGGUGGUGGAUGGAGGAGCGGAUCUAGGGUUUGGUGUGGAAAUUUAAAAAAAAAUCGAUUUGGAUGUCUAUGGGUGUCUAUGGGUCUGGCGGCUAGGGUUUGUAGGAGGAGUUAGGGUUUCAAGAUGUCUAUGGGUGACUACGCAUUACUACGGUUUCCUAUGGGUUUCUGAAGAUGUCUACGACCGAAAAAAUAAAAAAAAAUCAUAUUUUUCACUUUAUGUAAAAAAAGAAGGGGAAAAGAAUAGAUUUUUAUAUAAUGAUAGAAUACGAAAAAAACGUGUUUCACGUAAAAAUGAAAAAAAAAUGCUAGAUGCAAACGUAAAAAUAUUAAAUAAUACCAUAGUUCAUCAUAGUAUAUUUACAAUUUGGUGUAAUUUCGAAUUUGUGAGUGGAGGGGCAUUUUUGGAAUGAAUUUAAUAAAGGAUGUGAAGCAAAUUUUAUUUAGACUUGUCAUUUAGUUCUAAUAAGGUUUGUCACCAGGGACUUAUAUCUUAAGACCCCUUAAAAUAUUGUGUUAUAACUUAUAUAAUAUGGACCUCAUAAUCAAGUAUGUUAUUUCAUUGAUUAUGGACCUCAUAUAUAAUGUUAUAUUCUGUUCUAAUACUUAUGAAGAAACACGUGC
rnacentral:lncRNA from 1 species